AUCCGGCUGACGAGACCCAAAAAGGACGAAACACGCGUCCUGGAU
rnacentral:hammerhead_ribozyme from 1 species